rnacentral:rRNA from 1 species
AGGACGAACGCUGGCGGCGUGCUUAACACAUGCAAGUCGAGCGGUAAGGCCUUUCGGGGUACACGAGCGGCGAACGGGUGAGUAACACGUGGGUGAUCUGCCCUGCACUCUGGGAUAAGCCUGGGAAACUGGGUCUAAUACCGGAUAUGACCUGCUCUCGCAUGGGGGGUGGUGGAAAGAUUUAGUCGGUGCAGGAUGGGCCCGCGGCCUAUCAGCUUGUUGGUGGGUAAUGGCCUACCAAGGCGACGACGGGUAGCCGACCUGAGAGGGUGACCGGCCACGACGUGGGACUGGAGACGACGGCCCAGACCUCCGUACGGGAGGCAGCGAGGUGGGAAUAUUGCACAGUGGGACGAAAGCC